rnacentral:rRNA from 1 species
AGUGAACGCUGGCGGUAGGCCUAACACAUGCAAGUCGAACGGCAGCACAGUAAGAGCUUGCUCUUACGGGUGGCGAGUGGCGGACGGGUGAGGAAUACAUCGGAAUCUACUUUUUCGUGGGGGAUAACGUAGGGAAACUUACGCUAAUACCGCAUACGACCUACGGGUGAAAGCAGGGGAUCUUCGGACCUUGCGCGAUUGAAUGAGCCGAUGUCGGAUUAGCUAGUUGGCGGGGUAAAGGCCCACCAAGGCGACGAUCCGUAGCUGGUCUGAGAGGAUGAUCCGCCACACUGGAACUGAAACACGGUCCAAACCCCUAGGGAAGGCGGCGGUGGGAAUUAUUGGCAAUGGGGCGCAGGCCUGAUCCAGCCAUCCGGCGUGGUGAAGAAGGCCUUCGGGUUGUAAAGCCCUUUUGUUGGGAAAGAAAAGCAGCAGGUUAAUACCCCGCUGUUCUGACGGUACCCAAAGAAUAAGCACCGGCUAACUUCGUG